CCCAUGCCUCUGAGGUGAUUUGACUGGCAUGUCAUUUGCAUUCUCUUUGACCAGUGAAGUACUGAGGAGAAGACUGUUAAAGUGCUGCUCUGAUGGCGUUUGGAGUCUCUGGGUGUGUCUUGCCCAAAGUCAUUUGAAAGACUUCAGCUGCAACCUGUGUGUGUUCUCAGGUUAAAAUGACUUCACCUCAAAAUUACCUGAGAGAUCUAUGACACAGAGCAGCAGCUGGGAUUGUUCAGAGUCAGUUGCAUUGGAAACUUCAUUUCAUGCCAUGAACGGUGCUUCAUCAUUGUUACGAAGAAAGACAGACAUACAGCUUUGGAAUGAUGAGAGGAGACAUGUAAUAAGGAGUCCACCUCAGCCCAAAGAUCUGUAGGAACGGAUUCUGUUUGAGUGUGAGCAGUGCAGGAGAUGAAACGGCAGACUGCCAGAGCUGUUUUUCUUCAUCUGAGGUCUGGAAAACAUGAUCUACUCGGAUUACACUCACCCCCAAAACACACACUUCCAGUACCCACGUGCUUUCAGGAAAUGCACACACACAGGCAAACAGACACCCCUGAGUCUUGCAUCUGUAUACAGCCCCAUAGUGUAGAUGUACCUAUAGUUUAUUUCAUAUACACCAAACACCACUUCCAUGGCAGCCAAUCACAUGCACAAGGGAUUUUAUAAUAAUAAUAAUAAUGAUUAAUUGUAUUAUGUUAUUUGUGAGUAUAUUUAUUUUUGUCAUUCUUUUUAUGCAUUCAUGUAUUUCAGGCGUUUCUGAAAUCAAGAGCAUCGCCUCAAACUAGCUUCAGUUAUAUUUGAUUUUAUCCGCAGUUCUUUAUUUUACGUUUCUUUGCAGUUUGUUAAUAACAUUUAAUAUGUUUCAAUUUAAAUGUGUUUUGUUUCAUUUAUCAUUUAUUCAUUUUUAUUAUAUUUUUUUAUUAUUUUGUACAUUUUAAAUACAUUCGAUCCAUUUCAAAUUUUUUGGACUUUUGAGGUCUUUUUGAGAGAUAAUUUUAGAAAGAAACCAUGAGGAGGAGACAUGAAAUAGAUUUGGGAAAAUAGAUGAGGAAACAUCACAGGCCUGACUCGAACCGUGUCACCCAUGUGAGUACCAGAGCUAUGAAAUUUCAAAAGCAUGUGUGUUACUUGACAUAAUUUGUCUUUCCGAAAAGUUGACCAUGUUAAACUUCAUGAUUAAGCGUUAGGUUACAAUAAGUUGUGCUCUAUUGUGACUGAAACCAUAUAUUUAUAUUGUGCAUGUAUUGUCUAUCUGAGCCUCCUUUAUAUGAUUCGGAUUUCCACAAAAAUGGGAAUGAAAAUCUUUUUGGGGGUAUUUCUGACCAGCUGUUUACUUAUUAGCUGUAAUAAUGCGUUCUGCCAUGUUCUCUGAAGUAAACGUGGCAUUUUCAAACACACUCAGCAGUGGCUGGGUGAACACAAGUGUGCUUUUGUUUAUUAUUUGCGUACCAGCUUGUGUCUCCAUCCCUGCGUUACAUCCCCAGCCUCUUUUCUCGCCUCUCCACGCAGAGCUUUAACGGACAUGUCACCACUCAGCGUAAUAAAAGCAGCUAGGCUGUAUGAUCUAUCAGCUGUAACACAGAGGCCCGCUUAGCACAUCCAAAAGGGGCCCGUCUGCGUCUUUAAGCCUGUGUGGGAGUGGAGCACUAAUAGGGGGAAAUGUCUUGGACAACUGAUUUGAAGAUACUUCGCUCAGAGCACGGCAGGUGAUGCGGUGUCUUCCCUUUUUGAUGUGGCACAACACAGAGUCGCGUCGACUGAUAGCUUCAAAACGCAGAAGAGUGAGACCUUAUUCAGCCUCCUGCUAGUGCGACAUCAGAGGAGCUGACAUCUAUUAUGGUACGGAAAGACAAGUGUUUGAAACCAAAUUCAAGUGUGCGUGGAAGUGUCAGGAUUUACUACAGGCCCCGGCAUCUUUUUUUUUUUUUUUUCUCGUUUUCUCUCUUUCUCUCCCCCGCACGCACACCCUCCUCCUGCAAUCCCUUUUUUCUUUUUUUCUUUUCUUUAAUAAGGUGGUUUAAACCAAGCAUGUCUAUAUGAACUCUGCAGGAGAAAGCAUGAAAGGGUGCUGCCAGCCCAUGAUGAAAAUAUUUUAGUCGAAAAGCCCGGUCAGUUCCUACUGACUGGAGACGGGAGGGGAAAUGGAAAAACAGCAGAAUCUUUCAUGAUGCUUUUGGUGGAAACAAGUUUGUUUUCAUAUAGUGAGAAAUCUUAA